AAAUUGAAGAGUUUGAUCAUGGCUCAGAUUGAACGCUGGCGGCAGGCCUAACACAUGCAAGUCGAACGGUAACAGGAAGCAGCUUGCUGCUUCGCUGACGAGUGGCGGACGGGUGAGUAAUGUCUGGGAAACUGCCUGAUGGAGGGGGAUAACUACUGGAAACGGUAGCUAAUACCGCAUAACGUCGCAAGACCAAAGAGGGGGACCUUAGGGCCUCUUGCCAUCGGAUGUGCCCAGAUGGGAUUAGCUAGUAGGUGGGGUAACGGCUCACCUAGGCGACGAUCCCUAGCUGGUCUGAGAGGAUGACCAGCCACACUGGAACUGAGACACGGUCCAGACUCCUACGGGAGGCAGCAGUGGGGAAUAUUGCACAAUGGGCGCAAGCCUGAUGCAGCCAUGCCGCGUGUAUGAAGAAGGCCUUCGGGUUGUAAAGUACUUUCAGCGGGGAGGAAGGGAGUAAAGUUAAUACCUUUGCUCAUUGACGUUACCCGCAGAAGAAGCACCGGCUAACUCCGUGCCAGCAGCCGCGGUAAUACGGAGGGUGCAAGCGUUAAUCGGAAUUACUGGGCGUAAAGCGCACGCAGGCGGUUUGUUAAGUCAGAUGUGAAAUCCCCGGGCUCAACCUGGGAACUGCAUCUGAUACUGGCAAGCUUGAGUCUCGUAGAGGGGGUAGAAUUCCAGGUGUAGCGGUGAAAUGCGUAGAGAUCUGGAGGAAUACCGGUGGCGAAGGCGGCCCCCUGGACGAAGACUGACGCUCAGGUGCGAAAGCGUGGGGAGCAAACAGGAUUAGAUACCCUGGUAGUCCACGCCGUAAACGAUGUCGACUUGGAGGUUGUGCCCUUGAGGCGUGGCUUCCGGAGCUAACGCGUUAAGUCGACCGCCUGGGGAGUACGGCCGCAAGGUUAAAACUCAAAUGAAUUGACGGGGGCCCGCACAAGCGGUGGAGCAUGUGGUUUAAUUCGAUGCAACGCGAAGAACCUUACCUGGUCUUGACAUCCACGGAAGUUUUCAGAGAUGAGAAUGUGCCUUCGGGAACCGUGAGACAGGUGCUGCAUGGCUGUCGUCAGCUCGUGUUGUGAAAUGUUGGGUUAAGUCCCGCAACGAGCGCAACCCUUAUCCUUUGUUGCCAGCGGUCCGGCCGGGAACUCAAAGGAGACUGCCAGUGAUAAACUGGAGGAAGGUGGGGAUGACGUCAAGUCAUCAUGGCCCUUACGACCAGGGCUACACACGUGCUACAAUGGCGCAUACAAAGAGAAGCGACCUCGCGAGAGCAAGCGGACCUCAUAAAGUGCGUCGUAGUCCGGAUUGGAGUCUGCAACUCGACUCCAUGAAGUCGGAAUCGCUAGUAAUCGUGGAUCAGAAUGCCACGGUGAAUACGUUCCCGGGCCUUGUACACACCGCCCGUCACACCAUGGGAGUGGGUUGCAAAAGAAGUAGGUAGCUUAACCUUCGGGAGGGCGCUUACCACUUUGUGAUUCAUGACUGGGGUGAAGUCGUAACAAGGUAACCGUAGGGGAACCUGCGGUUGGAUCACCUCCUUA
rnacentral:rRNA from 1 species